GAUGAAGAACGUAGCGAAAUGCGAUAAGUAAUGUAAAUUGCAGAAUUCAGUGAAUCAUCGAAUCUUUGAACGCACAUUGCGCCCGCCAGUAUUCUGGCGGGCAUGCCUGUUCGAGCGUCAUUACAACCCUCAGGCCCCCGGGCCUGGCGUUGGGGAUCGGCGGAGCCCCCCGUGGGCACACGCCGUCCCCCAAAUACAGUGGCGGUCCCGCCGCAGCUUCCAUCGCGUAGUAGCUAACACCUCGCGACUGGAGAGCGGCGCGGCCACGCCGUAAAACACCCAACUCUUCUGAAGUUGACCUCGAAUCAGGUAGGAAUACCCGCUGAACUUAAGCAUAUCAAUAAGCGGAGGA
rnacentral:misc_RNA from 1 species